UCAGAGGCCCGCCUGAAGGUUCUGUCCGCACUGACCUCUGGAAGCUGCGGGGCAUGCCCGGAAGGUGCUGCGUGGCACCGCCCACAGCGGACACCAGCGGGUCCUACUGAAUAUUUUGAACUUCUACCCAAGGCAGGCACUGGAUAUUCCUGGCCUUGGUCAGGGUAACUGUGUUGAGCAGUAACUGAAUUUUGCUGGCCACCUCCUCCCAGAGUGCCUCUGCAGAGGAACACACAGAUCUCUGUGGGAUGGUACCAAAUGGCUCAGUCCAGCUUCAUUCAUAAUUGCCAAAGCUUGGAAGCAACGAAGAUGAUCUUCAGUAAGUGAAUGGAUCAUAAGAUGUGGGGCAUCUAGACAAUGAAAUAUUAUUCAGCACAAAAAGGAAAUGAGCUUCCCAAGCCAUGAAAAGACAUGGAGAAACCUUAAAUGCAUACUUAAGGGACUAUCAUGCUAUGUAGUUCUGACUGGACUGGAACUCACUAUGUAGCCCAGGCUGACCUUCAGCACCAGAUUGGGACUACUGAGACAACCAGCCUUUUGAACUGAGCGACUACGGAUUCUCAGCCUCUCCAGUGUG